rnacentral:rRNA from 1 species
AUUGAACGCUGGCGGCAUGCCUAACACAUGCAAGUCGAACGGCAGCACAGCAGUAGCAAUACUGUGGGUGGCGAGUGGCGGACGGGUGAGGAAUACGUCGGAAUCUGCCCAGUCGUGGGGGAUAACUAGCCGAAAGGUUAGCUAAUACCGCAUACGACCGAGAGGUGAAAGCGGGGGACCGCAAGGCCUCGCGCGAUUGGAUGAGCCGACGUCGGAUUAGCUAGUUGGCGGGGUAAAGGCCCACCAAGGCGACGAUCCGUAGCUGGUCUGAGAGGAUGAUCAGCCACACUGGAACUGAGACACGGUCCAGACUCCUACGGGAGGCAGCAGUGGGGAAUAUUGGACAAUGGCGCGAAGCCUGAUCCAGCAAUAG